rnacentral:misc_RNA from 1 species
GAGUGAUCUGGACUCUGUGGUGCCUGUGAGGAUCAGAGUAGAAAAUCAGAAUUCAUUGAACAAUCGGUUCAAAAUGGAUGAAUUGAUUAAAACCCGUGCUGUACUUGAGCUUGAUGAUGACAUUAUGAUGACUUGUGAUGACAUUGAACGGGGAUUCAAUGUAUGGCGCCAACAUCCAGACCGGAUUGUUGGAUUCUAUCCUCGACUCAUAAGUGGAAGCCCGUUGAAAUACAGGGGUGAGAAAUAUGCCCGAAAACAUAAAGGUUACAACAUGAUUCUUACUGGGGCAGCAUUCAUGGACAGCAAAUUGGCUUUCGAGAGGUAUUGGGGUGAGGAAGCUAAGGCUGGGAGGGAAGUGGUGGAUAAAUAUUUUAACUGCGAGGAUGUGCUAUUGAAUUACUUGUAUGCUAAUGCAAGUACAUCUGCUACAGUUGAAUAUGUGAGACCAACAUGGGCAAUAGAUACAUCAAAAUUCUCAGGUGCUGCAAUUAGCCGAAAUACGCAAGUACAUUACAAGAUAAGAAGUAGUUGCCUCCAGAAAUUUUCAGAGAUGUAUGGAAGUUUAGGUGGCCGGAAGUUGGAAUUUGACCGGCGAAAGGAUGGCUGGGAUUUAUAGAGAAGAACUAAUUCUGAAAGCCAUCGAGUCUCAUACUCCUCAAUCUGUGUAUCUUCUCAUCCUUCUGGUAGAUUCUUGUCUUGUUACAAUAGUUUUAUAACGCUGCUUGUGAAGAUUUUUGUGGUGGGGGA